CCUGAGGAAGGUGAGGUUAGCCAGGGACGGAGAUAAUUUACCCUGCAACUGAAGGGACUCCAACUUGAGGGCUGUGACCCUCGGUUCACCUCCGUGGUUACGGCACUUCACCCCUCGCCACCAGCAGAAAUGGAGGGAGACGUUGUCCCAGGAGGCCAACGCUCCGGAUGGGUCGGAGAGGAGGGUCUUGAAGGAGCGGAGUGAGAGGCGAUCGGCGUUGGUGGAUUCAGCGGUGGGAGUCUCCAUUUGGGAUGCUGCAGAUAAGCCUACAGAAGAGAGGAACAUGAGAUGCAAAAGCAUGACGGAGAUGGCCAAAGGACCCAUGCAAACAUGAAACACUUAUGCCCUGUUCUCUCCACGCAAGUGUUCUUCUGACUUGGGAGAUCGCUCUACAUUCCGCACUCUCUAAGCAUCUUUAUACCAAAGUAAUUUGAGUUGGCCAAACCAUGAUCUACCCGUAUGGGUAUAUAUAGAGGGGAGAAGUCUUGCAAUUUGUACUGAUCACCACUACUGCCCAUUAAAGAUAAGAGAACACGAGAGCACAAGAAAUUUUCCUUCACCGGUUUGCGACCUCUCAUAAUGACAUGGAACAACCCGCUCGUCCAGUUUAAUUAGCAGACUGAGAUAAUUCCACGCUUGCUACAGGCGCAUUAAAGAUGGAGGAGAAGAAAGACAAUCAUCACUAAGCUCUCGAUCGAUCGUAUGGUGAAGGCAAAAAGCUUGACAAGAGACGAUCUCUUUUUUC
rnacentral:lncRNA from 1 species